rnacentral:rRNA from 1 species
GACAGAGGGUGCAAACGUUGCUCGGAAUCACUGGGCGUAAAGGGCGUGUAGGCGGGACGGUAAGUCGGGCGUGAAAUCCCUAGGCUCAACCUAGGAACUGCACUCGAAACUACCAUUCUUGAGUGUCGGAGAGGAAAGCGGAAUUCCUGGUGUAGAGGUGAAAUUCGUAGAUAUCAGGAGGAACACCAGUGGCGAAGGCGGCUUUCUGGACGAUGAACUGACGUGAGACGCGAAAGCGUGGGUAGCAAACAGG